ACGCGAGUAACUAAGACGUUGGCACCGAUAUCGAUAUCCUCGCUCUUCAAGUUUAAUAAUGGACGGGGGGUCAGUACCAAGGGAUAAACAGUUCGAACCCCACAGUACCGAAGCAUGUCGAAGCCUGUGCUGUCAGGAGUGAAGCGGGAGAUGACUGCUCUCCUGGACUUCCUGGCACGGGUGGUUGUGCUGGAGAGACCGAGACAGGGUUUCGUGAAGCUUCUCUAAGAGCAAAGCCACCUCCACGAAGAGAGUAGGAUGCCUACGAUUCUCUCGCAGGCCAGCUGGCCGGUGACUCUGUUUACCACAAUGAGUGUUCACUUUUAGUCGCGAAGGGACAGGCGCCUGCUGUGCAUUUGCCAGUGCAGAUCCUGCGCCGGGCGUUUUGCUGCAUCCUGUGCUUUUUACUGUGAUCCUCUGAGACAGGUGGUGAUGUCUCUCUCUCUCCUCUCUCCCCAACCCAGGAGGACACUUAAACCUGUAGAGAUGACGUGACUGAUCAAGGUCACACAGUGUCGGACAUGGAAUCCAGACCUGAUUUCCUUACUGGGAGGAGGACCUGCUUGAUGAAGAACUUGUUUUUAUAAUCUUAACAUCCACUGUCUUUCCAGACUUUGAGGACAGUAGAAACCAGUGGGCCCUGCAUGUGGUCUCCCUUUUUAGCUGGGUUGCCAAGCCUGUAAAAUGUAAGCCUCAUGCUGCCGGGGGCCAUCUUGCCACCCCAAUGGGAAUGCUACCUGACAAUGAAACCAACACAGAUGAAAACAGAUGGAGACCAAAUGGCAUCUUUUUAGCACCUGGAUUUAACCAUACCUUAAGCUAGUCUAACCCUGGACAUGUCAUUUUUUAUUUCCUUUUUUAUUUUGUCUUGAAAGUUCAGUUUGGAAUUUUUUCACCUGCAGACAGAAGAGUCUUAACUAAUCAGGGCUAUACAUUGUAUAUAGUUCUCAAUACAAUGUGAGGCUCAGCCUUUCUCAACAGAUUUUUCUGUCUUUAAAUGCUAGCUGUGAGUUUGUUAUAAGAAUCAUGAGACCCCACUGUAUUGUAUCCUUUACAUGGUGAAUUUUAUGGCAGGUGAAUUAUAUGUAAGAUGUUUAGAAGUCAACCAAUUUCGUGAUUUAUUACUGUGAUAAUAAAAAGGAAAAUUGUGAAAAAGAAAA